UAGCAUAUCAAUAAGCGGAGGAAAAGAAACUAACAAGGAUUCCCCUAGUAACUGCGAGUGAAGCGGGAAAAGCUCAAAUUUAAAAUCUGGCGGUCUUUUGGCUGUCCGAGUUGUAAUCUAGAGAAGUGUUAUCCGCGCUGGACCGUGUACAAGUCUCCUGGAAUGGAGCAUCAUAGAGGGUGAGAAUCCCGUCUUUGACAUGGACUGCCAGGGCUUUGUGAUGCGCUCUCAAAGAGUCGAGUUGUUUGGGAAUGCAGCUCAAAAUGGGUGGUAAAUUCCAUCUAAAGCUAAAUAUUGGCGAGAGACCGAUAGCGAACAAGUACCGUGAGGGAAAGAUGAAAAGAACUUUGGAAAGAGAGUUAAACAGUACGUGAAAUUGCUGAAAGGGAAACGCUUGAAGUCAGUCGCGUCGUCCAGGGAUCAACCUUGCUUUUGCUUGGUGCACUUUCUGUUCGAUGGGUCAGCAUCAAUUUUGACUGUUGGAAAAAGGUCAAGGGAAUGUGGCAUCUUCGGAUGUGUUUAUAGCCCUUGGUCGCAUACAAUGGUUGGGAUUGAGGAACUCAGCACGCCGCAAGGCCGGGUUUUAAACCACGUACGUGCUUAGGAUGCUGGCAAUAUGGCUUUAAUCGACCCGUCUUGAAACACGGACCAAGGAGUCUAACAUGCCUGCGAGUGUUUGGGUGGAAAACCCGAGCGCGUAAUGAAAGUGAAAAGUUGAGAUCCCUGUCGUGGGGAGCAUCGACGCCCGGACCAGACCUUUUGUGACGGUUCCGCGGUAGAGCAUGUAUGUUGGGAUCCGAAAGAUGGUGAACUAUGCCUGAAUAGGGUGAAUCCAGAGGAAACUCUGGUGGAGGCUCGUAGCGAUUCUGACGUGCAAAUCGAUCGUCAAAUUUGGGUAUAGGGGCGAAAGACUAAUCGAACCAU
rnacentral:rRNA from 1 species